rnacentral:rRNA from 1 species
AUCAACUUUCGAUGGUAGGAUAGAGGCCUACCAUGGUGGUAACGGGUAACGGGGUGUUAGGGCACGACACCGGAGAGGGAGCCUGAGAAACGGCUACCACAUCCAAGGAUGGCAGCAGGCGCGCAAAUUACCCAAUCCCGACACGGGGAGGUAGUGACAAUAAAUAACAAUACGGGGUCCUUUCGGGUUUCGUAAUUGGAAUGAGUACAAUUUAAAUCUCUUAACGAGGAACAAUUGGAGGGCAAGUCUGGUGCCAGCAGCCGCGGUAAUUCCAGCUCCAAUAGCGUAUAUUAAGGUUGUUGCAGUUAAAAAGCUCGUAGUUGAAUUUCGGGAUUAGUACGUUGGUCGUGCCUUCGGUACGUACUGGUGUUACUGAUUCCUACCUUCUGACGAACCAUCAUGUCAUUAAUUUGGUGUGGCGGGGAAUCAGGACUGUUACUUUGAAAAAAUUAGAGUGUUUAAAGCAGGCUCGCGCUUGAAUACAUUAGCAUGGAAUAAUGAAAUAGGACGUUGACCCUAUUUUGUUGGUUUCUAGGAUUGACGUAAUGAUUAAUAGGGAUAGUUGGGGGCAUUAGUAUUCAAUUGUCAGAGGUGAAAUUCUUGGAUUUAUUGAAGACUAACUACUGCGAAAGCAUUUGCCAAGGAUGUUUUCAUUAAUCAAGAACGAAAGUUAGGGGAUCGAAGACGAUCAGAUACCGUCGUAGUCUUAACCAUAAACUAUGCCGACUAGGGAUCGGAUGAUGUUAUUUUUAAUGACUCAUUCGGCGCCUUACGGGAAACCAAAGUGUUUGGGUUC